ACCAAUCCAGUAUGUCUGUGUCAACAGAGCCAGGCAGACAACCCGUACUACUGUGCUAAAACGUCGGGUGAACUCUUUUACAAGGAGACGUUGUAAAACUAUAACGACUACAAAUUGUGGUUCUCAUUUGUCCAGAUUGGCUUGAAUACAGGGAGUGGGUGUGGGCGGAGCCAAAGACGAAGCGCCUUAACCUUUGGAGUGUUUACGUCCUGAUUGGCUCAAAAAGACUGAUGAGGGCCACAACAGGAAAAUGACAGUUGCGUGCAAACGAGAAAGCGCCGCGCCACUCACGCGCCUCAUAUGAGCUCUCCCGAAGGGUUAAUCAUUUGGGGAAAAAAGGGGGUCUGAAGACAAGGCCCCUGGUUUCAUUUGUCUGUCUUCGCCCCCCUGAAACAGUAGCGGAACUGUAACACUUGACAUGGUUUGACACGCUGAGCCAAUGUUCCCACACAUGCAGGGAGAAAUUAGAAAAAAGGGGGGAAAAAAAUGUACAUUUAUUAAAUCUGCCUCACUGGACUAAAGUGUUUCUGAUGUCUGAAUUAAACACACAAAUUGACUGAAACAGUGAAUUAAAAGUACUUCCAAACUAUUUAUUAUUGGCGCAGUAGUUCACACUACACUCGCACCCUCAUGAGAGUUGUUUCUAAUAUUUCCGCCCUUUCAUGCAGUUGAAUGUUAUCACUGUCCAACAAAAAUCAUGUACUGCAGCUCCAUGUUUUGUGGUUUUAUCUGAAAAACAACAAAAAUCCGUUUUACUUGUGUUCAAUAUAGCGUUCAAUCUAUCCAUCUCACGUAGUGGAAAAACGUUGCUGACCAACUAAAAGCGUGUACUGUAACUCCAAAUUAUUUUUUUACAUUCUUUUUUGUUGCAGAUAAAAAAACAAAAAUGGGGGGGGGGGGGGGGACAUCUAAAUUGUGUAAUUUAAUGUAAUUUUUUUUAAUCACAAAUACACCAAAAUAGAACUAUAAAAAACGCAUCGUGUUGGAAGCAAAUAUUUGAAUAAAGAAAAAAAGUCAACUGUCCUCCCAAAAGUAAAAUAUCUACAUUUGUUUUUAAACGUCUUUUAAAAUUUUAUCACAAAAACGACAAAAAUAUUUUUUCCAUUGUGUUUUGGUGCAAACAAAAAAAAAUCAUAAAAAUGUGAAGAUAUGUUUUAUAGGUCGAACUGCAAUGAUAAUUACCUGUCCAAAAACUUUUAAGUACUGUAUGUCAAAAAUGUUUUUUAAACAAAAACAACAAAAUAAAAAUGUCCUUGUGUUUCAGAAAACAAAUAUAAAUAUUAUAUUUGGAGAGCACAUCUGCCUCACAGUUCUGAGGACCGGGGUUCGAUUCCCCAUCCCCGCCUGUGUAGAGUUUGCACGUUCCCCCCGUGCCUACGUGGUUUUUCUCCGGGUACUCCCAAAAACAUGCACGGCAGGUUUAUUGAAGAUUCUAAAUUGCCCAUAGGUGUGAAUGUUAGUGCGAAUGGUUGUUUGUUUGUAUGUGGCCUGUGAUUGGCUGGCGACCAGUUCAGGGUGUACCCCGCCUCUCGCUCGAAGAUCUCCACCUACUUCUCCGCUCCCGAGCCAGUGCUGUCAACGUAACAAACAGAACCCAAGUGCGGUUCAGCUUGAGGUAACCAACUGAUGGCCGAACAUUCUCCUUCAGGAUUUUUCAGAAUACUCUCCCAAAAGUCCUGGGAAUCAUUCAGAAGUUUUUUUGUUUUGGCAAAAAUAAGACGAUCCUUUAUGUUCUUUUUGGUCAGCAGUGGUUUUCGCCUUGGAACUCUUCCAUCGAUGCCAUUUUUGCCCAGUCUCUUCCUUUUUGCUGAGUCAUGAACACUGACCUUAACUAAGAGAGCCCUGCAGUUCCUUAGAUGUUGUCCUGAGUUCUUUUGUGGCGUCCUGGAUGAGUCAUUGCUGUUCUCUCAGGGUUAUUUCUGUAGGCUGACCACUCCUGGAGUCCUAAAGCUUUAGAAAUGCCUUUGUAAUCCUUUCCAGACUGAUAGAUGUCGAUUACUUUAUUUCUCGUCUGUUCUUGAAUUUCUUUGGCUCGUGGCAUUUUGUUGCAGCUUUUUGAGAUCUUUUGGCGGACUUGAUUUUGUCAAACAGGUCCUAUUUAAGUCAUUUCCUGAUUGAACAGGAGGUCUGGAGGUAAUCAGGCUUGGGUGUGCUCAGUGAAAAUGAACCAAAAAAUGUAUUUUUUAUUUUUAACUGCACUGCCAACCAUCUGUCCCAAAGAAAUUGUCAGUACUGUAUCACAAAAUUUCGUGAUUCGUGUAUUUAAAAAAAUUAAUUAAAAUUUCAAAAAAAGUGCUUGUGUUUCAGAAAACAAAUCAAAAUAUUUGGAGAUACAUGCUUUUGCUUAACAGGAAAAAAAACUAUUAUUUGGAGAUAUGCUGUGAUUUUAAAAAUGUUUUGCUCCCCAAAACAUCAAACAAUAUUUUUUCUGUUUUUGUUGUUGUUGUUUUUUUUCUAAGUGGGCGGGGGGGAUCCCGAUACAGGUAACUGUCUUGUUUUGUUUUUGGUUUGAACUGCAAGUGUACAAAUUUUGCACAUCUUUAUUUAAUUAAUUAAUUUUUUUACAAAUAGCUCUUUGUGUUGUUUUUUUUAAUUUGUGUUUUGGAUGUUUAAAAAAAAUGCAAGAUUUGGAGGUACAUCCUUUUAGGUUGACAGCGCUGAUAUGGUGACCAAUAUCUUAUAAAACAUUCCCAGUUAUCACACAGUUUAAAUUACAACAAUAGUAAGAUGAUUC